AUUUGGCUAGUGCAAAAGCGAUAGUAGCGGCAUCCUUUUUAAAGCUUAAAAAAUAAUAAACUUUAAGAGGUCUCUAAAAUUUGAUAGUAUUACCUCCUUCUUUAUCCUUUAUUACAAUGCUUUAAAAAGAUAUAGCGAAUAGCGCGGUGGCUU
rnacentral:sRNA from 1 species